rnacentral:rRNA from 1 species
GAUUAAGCCAUGCAUGUGUAAGUAUAAAUAAUUCUACUUUGAAACUGCGAAUGGCUCAUUAUAUCAGUUAUAGUUUAUUAGAAAAAAUGUACUACUUGGAUAACCGUAGUAAUUCUAGGGCUAAUACAUGAAUGAAUCCUCGACUUUGAAGAGGUGUGUUUAUUAGUAUGAAAACCAUAUGCUUUUGCAUGAUAGUGAGUAAUAAUAACCUUUCAUAUCGUAUGUUGAAAUAACGAUAGUUCUUUCAAGUUUCUGCCCUAUCAGCUUUCGAUGGUAGUGUAUUGGACUACCAUG